rnacentral:rRNA from 1 species
UACGUAGGGUCCGAGCGUUGUCCGGAAUCAUUGGGCGUAAAGCGCGCGUAGGCGGCCCGGUAAGUCCGCUGUGAAAGUCAAAAGGCUCAACCUUUGAAUGUCAGCGGAUACUGCCGGGCUAGAGUCCGGAAGAGGCGAGUGGAAUUCCUGGUGUAGCGGUGGAAUGCGCAGAUAUCAGGAGGAACACCAACGGCGAAGGCAGCUCGCUGGGACGGUACUGACGCUGAGGCGCGAAAGCGUGGGGAGCGAACAGG